rnacentral:rRNA from 1 species
UACGAAGGGGGCUAGCGUUGCUCGGAGUCACUGGGCGUAAAGCGCACGUAGGCGGCUUACUAAGUCAGGGGUGAAAUCCUGGAGCUCAACUCCAGAACUGCCUUUGAUACUGGUGAGCUUGAGUCCGGAAGAGGUGAGUGGAACUGCGAGUGUAGAGGUGAAAUUCGUAGAUAUUCGCAAGAACACCAGUGGCGAAGGCGGCUCACUGGUCCGGUACUGACGCUGAGGUGCGAAAGCGUGGGGAGCAAACAGG